rnacentral:rRNA from 1 species
GAUGAACGCUGGCGGCGUGCCUAAUACAUGCAAGUCGAGCGAACGGACGAGAAGCUUGCUUUUCUGAUGUUAGCGGCGGACGGGUGAGUAACACGUGGAUAACCUACCUAUAAGACUGGGAUAACUUCGGGAAACCGGAGCUAAUACCGGAUAAUAUUUUGAACCGCAUGGUUCAAAAGUGAAAGACGGUCUUGCUGUCACUUAUAGAUGGAUCCGCGCUGCAUUAGCUAGUUGGUAAGGUAACGGCUUACCAAGGCAACGAUGCAUAGCCGACCUGAGAGGGUGAUCGGCCACACUGGAACUGAGACACGGUCCAGACUCCUACGGAGGCAGCAGUAGGGAAUCUUCCGCAAUGGGCGAAAGCCUGACGGAGCAACGCCGCGUGAGUGAUGAAGGUCUUCGGAUCGUAAAACUCUGUUAUUAGGGAAGAACAUAUGUGUAAGUAACUGUGCACAUCUUGACGGUACCUAAUCAGAAAGCCACGGCUAACUACGUG